UACGUAGGGGGCAAGCGUUGUCCGGAAUCAUUGGGCGUAAAGAGCGUGUAGGCGGCUUGGUAAGUCCGCUGUGAAAACUCGAGGCUCAACCUCGAGACGCCGGUGGAAACCAUCAGACUAGAGUCCGGAAGAGGAGAGUGGAAUUCCUGGUGUAGCGGUGAAAUGCGCAGAUAUCAGGAAGAACACCCGUGGCUAAGGCGGCUCUCUAGUACGGUACUGACGCUGAGACGCGAAAGCGUGGGGAGCGAACAGG
rnacentral:rRNA from 1 species